GGAUGAACGUUGGCGGCGUGCCUAAUACAUGCAAGUCGAACGAAGACUGUAGUAAUACUGUCUUAGUGGCGAACGGGUGAGUAACGCGUGGGUGACCUGCCCCGAAGUGUGGGAUAACAGUCCGAAAGGAUUGCUAAUACUGCAUAAUAUCCAAGAGAUUAGAUGCUUUUGGAUUAAAGGAGUAAUUCGCUUCGGGAGGGGCCCGCGUCCCAUCAGCUAGUUGGUAAGGUAAUGGCUUACCAAGGCGAUGACGGGUAGGGGACCUGAGAGGGUGGCCCCCCACAAUGGAACUGAAACACGGUCCAUACACCUACGGGUGGCAGCAGUAGGGAAUAUUAGUAAUGGGCGAAAGCCUGAACUAGCAACGCCGCGUGUGCGAAGAAGGCCUUCGGGUCGUAAAGCACUUUUUGAGAGGAUGAGGAAGGACGGUACUCUCAGAAUAAGUCUCGGCUAACUACGUGCCAGCAGCCGCGGUAACACGUAGGAGGCAAACGUUAUCCGGAUUUACUGGGCGUAAAGCGCGUGUAGGUGGUUUGGUAAGUAGGGCGUGAAAGCUCCUGGCUCAACUGGGAGAGGACGUUCUAAACUGCCAAGCUUGAGGAUGGUAGAGGGAGGUGGAAUUCCGGGUGUAGCGGUGGAAUGCGCAGAUAUCCGGAGGAACACCAGUGGCGAAGGCGGCCUCCUGGACCACUCCUGACACUCAGACGCGAAAGCUAGGGUAGCAAACGGGAUUAGAGACCCCGGUAGUCCUAGCCCUAAACGAUGUAGACUUGGCGUCGGUGGUUUAAUCGCCAUCGGUGUCGUAGCUAACGCGAUAAGUCUACCGCCUGGGGACUACGGCCGCAAGGUUAAAACUCAAAGGAAUUGACGGGUCCCCGCACAAGCAGCGGAGCGUGUGGUUUAAUUCGACGCAACGCGAAGAACCUUACCGGGGUUGGAACGUCCGCGGCCACGGCCUGAGAGGGUCGGUUCCUCGUAAGGGGACUGCGGGCGAGGUGCUGCAUGGCUGUCGUCAGCUCGUGUCGUGAGAUGUUGGGUUAAGUCCCGCAACGAGCGCAACCCUUGUUGGUAGUUGCCAUCAGGUGAAGCUGGGCACUCUACCGAGACCGCCGGCGAUAAGCCGGAGGAAGGUGGGGAUGACGUCAAGUCAUCAUGGCCUUUAUGCCCCGGGCUACACACGUGCUACAAUGGGCGGUACAGAGGGGGGCGAACCCGCGAGGGGGAGCGAAUCCCAGAAAACCGCUCUCAGUUCGGAUUGCAGUCUGCAACCCGACUGCAUGAAGCUGGAAUCGCUAGUAAUCGCGGAUCAGCACGCCGCGGUGAAUACGUUCCCGGGCCU
rnacentral:rRNA from 1 species